rnacentral:lncRNA from 1 species
CUAAACCUUGGGUGUCCCUAGGAGAUAGAGCUGCCUGUCUAGGCAGCUUCCUGUUUCAGGUGUCCACUUCUAGUCACGGAGCUGGAUAAUUCCAAAAUGUCUAUGCUCCACCCUUCCCACUUAGAAACUGAGGACUUCAGGAAGUACUGAGGGGAAAAGCUGUGAUACAGUAUUUGUUUUUAAAGAGGCCUAGUGGACACAAUUUAAACAAUAAACAUUUUGAAUAUGCAGAUCAGGUGCCACAACGUUAGGAAUCUGAAUAGAAAUUUAGGAUUUCUUUGGUCAGAUUAUAGGAAGGGCUGGUCUCAUUUUGUGUUUGUCAUAAAGAGUAGAUUAAAUGGAUCUUUACUAGAAAUAGUCCACACUCUUCCUUUUAUUUAUUUAAUAAAUAUGGAAGGUCUGCUAUAUGCUAAAGCUUAUGUUCUCAUAGUCAUAGCCCAUUGUAACUCACAUAGCACACAUGUGAGUUGUUUUAUAUAAUAGUUUCCUGUAUUUUACUAAGGUGUAAAGAUCUUUGAUGCCUGGGAUUAUGUCUUAUUCAUUUUUGUGUUCCUAAUAUCAAGGAGCAUGGUACCUUGCACAUAGUAGGGACUUAAUGAGUUUGAAUUGAAUUAUGCUGUAAAGCUCUUAAGAGGAAUUAAUAAAAACAGCGACACUUAACUUUUUCCGACUGCGCUAAGGCAGACAUGUUAUCACUGUGCAAGUAUUAAGUGUUUUUAGAGAAGUAUGUUCACUUCACGAGUGACGGAAGAAGACUGCAGACCUGGGUGGAGACUGGUCUGGUAGCAGCAUUGUUAAUGCUCCUCUGGUCAGUCCAGAAUGACUGUGAGGAGUCACUAGAAUUUCGGUCUUCUCCUUCCAAAGUAUUUUCACCCCUCUCACCUUUCCAGAACUACCUGCCUCUUUCCGCUUCUUCCCAAAGGGCUGGAGCCAACUGACUCUACAUCAAAGUCUCAAGAGCCUACUCGUUCCCUCCCCUCCCAGCUCCGGUUCAAGAACUCUCCAGAUCAGAGGCCUUAAGAACACAGGCCAGGAAAACACGGGGUCACACGCAGGGCAGGCGCCAAACUGGCCGCAGCCCUGAGAGCGGCGCGGCAGGCGGGGCUGCUACGGGGCNUGGGGGCCGCUGGGGUGUCACCACCAACCCGCUCCGGCCGGAAACUGGCGCUAGUUUCCGGCCGGACGGCCGAAAGCCACCGAUCCCUAACCAGCCGCCGGAGUCGGAGUGGAGACGGGGUGUGGAGCAGGCAAAAAGCCACUGGGGGAGGCCAGUCCCGAUCAGUGCCUUCUGGCUCCAGCUUCUGAUCCCGUGCGGAGCAGCAGCCGCGGUCGCAGCCUCCGCCACCGCCUCCGCCUCCAUCGUCGUCAGGGGAGGGGCCAGCCGGACCCCGGGGUCACAGCAGAGGAAUGAGGAGAGGCGGCCGGGCCCCGCGCUCCGCCCCGGCCUAGGGCCUUGCCCCGGGAGCCGCGAGGGCUUUUUAUCUGACUGGUAACAGAUACCUGAAGACUCACAAUAGCAUUAUCUGGAUCAACUAACAUUUAUUAUGUACCUACUACAAGCGUCUUUUAUUUAACUUCAUAUGUGAAGAUGAAAUAUUCCUGGAUAAUAUGACUAGGACCCUAGUAGUAAUGCUUUGCAACGCUUGGCUUCUACAAUGCUUACCCCAUUUUAAUCUUUGCCAUGUCUCUUCUGUUAUGACUUCUGACCCAGCUAGGAAGUAAAGGGAAGAAAACUUUACUAUUUAAUAGUGAGACCCUACCAUGAGUUAUAUAUAGUAAGUACUUGAUAUAUCAUCUCACCUAAUACUCAUAACAGUUCAAUAAGAUAGAUGUUUUUAUACCUAUUUACAGAUUAAUUCAUCUCAUAUUUAUUACUGUGUUAAUAACAUAUUUAUCAAUUCAGCCAAGAUAUAUAGGUAUUGUUGAAGGUGCUGAGGAUACCACAGUGAUUAUCAGAUGAAUUCCCUACUAAGGCACAGAGAAGUUAAAUAAUUUGCUUGAGGUCACACAGCAAGAAAGUGACAGAUAAAAAAAAAAAAGAGUGACAGAUGUAGGAUUUACAUAGAGAUCUGGUGGAUUCCAAAGGGAAUGUAUGCAACCACUAUAACAUGCUGCCAUUUAUAUAUAUUGCAUGUUCUCUGUGAUUAUUUAAAUAAAUCAAAUUAUAGAUAGGUAUGGUGCCUAGUA